UACGGGGGGGGCAAGCGUUGUUCGGAAUUACUGGGCGUAAAGGGCUCGUAGGUGGCCAACUAAGUCAGACGUGAAAUCCCUCAGCUUAACUGGGGAACUGCGUCUGAUACUGGAUGGCUUGAGUUUGGGAGAGGGAUGCGGAAUUCCAGGUGUAGCGGUGAAAUGCGUAGAUAUCUGGAGGAACACCGGUGGCGAAGGCGGCAUCCUGGACCAACACUGACGCUCAUGCACGAAAGCGUGGGGAGCAAACAGG
rnacentral:rRNA from 1 species